rnacentral:lncRNA from 1 species
AUGCUUCUGAUGUGCUGUUCUGCUCUUCAUGGUAGCAGGGUUGUUCCACCCAGGCUGAUGAAGACAGACAGGGUAAAUGAAACUGGAACCAGGUCUGACAUGUCUCUGGUGGAUAUACUAAUCUCAAGCCACUCGGAGCAGCUCAGAGGGGAAGGAAAGCUGCUACAUUUCAUUGUCCUCAAAAGAGGGGAGAAAAAUCCGACUCGUGCUCCCAACCCAAACAACUCUGCUGCCUCGUGCAUUCUUGACAGCCAGGAAGGCUCCCUUGAAACCGUCUGUAGCCUUUAACUCCCUCCUAACAAGUUGGCCAUUUCCAAAGAGAAGAUUUUUUCUCCACUGAUUUAUGAGCUUUAAUUUAUAUGCAAGCCUGGAAUACUUGCUUUGGGAAGAGUUCUACCUCCAGCCAAGCGAGGGCUGAGAUGCAGAGUGUUUUGCGUGGUAUGUUCGGUAUUUCCACGGCACACUCUGCAGCAGCCCAAAACACCCCAAUUUCAGAGCCAGCAUGGUUGUAGGUGGUGCUGAACACUCUCCUCCAAAGCCUGGCUAGGCCAAGAAGUUGCAUUACUGAACUGGGUGGGUUAAGAGCUUUGGGAAGCCUGCAUGACCCAGGCAGGCACAGUCUGUAAGUGAGGAGGCACUGAAGUGGCCUGGGCUCCCAUGCAGUCCCUGCGUGAUCUGGGACAUUGUUUGACCAGGUUUCCAUGGGUGGUAAUGGGAUUUUCCAAUCUGGAGCUGACUCACCAGAGCCUGGGUGUAGGUAGGAUUGUGCAGACUCUGCUGUUUCCUUUGGAAAUGAUGGAGAACAUUUGGUCCUCUGCAUCAGGUCAGGAGCUCCUGACUGGCUUGUGGUGCCUGGUGAUCUGCACCCUGAGGCCUGGUACCAUCCCAAACUGCUUUUAGGAGAAUCCAGAUUGCUGCUACUGCAUCUCACCUGGAGGGUGGUACCUUCUACCUGAAGGGUAGUGGAUUUUAUCAACACAUUACUAAUUUCACCGUAGGCAAUGUAGGAGCAACAUGUUUUCCAUCCACAGGUUUGUUAUCGCCACUUGUGCUGUGUUACACAUGCACAUGAGAGCGUUGGCUCCUGGGUCCUUAAAACCUUGGGAGCCAUGGUGAAACCUCUGGAGUUUCGUGGAACCUUCAGUGCUUGACUGGAGUGGAAGGGGGCACAUCAAGCCCCAUAGGCUGGAUUCACUGAUUUAGUUCUGGAUGGAGAUGCUUGCAAAUCCUGGAGCUGGUGAGACCUGUUGUCUUGGUGGGUCACCCACACAAGAGCUGUGAGCUUGCA